rnacentral:SRP_RNA from 1 species
CCGUGCUAGAUGGGGAAUUAGCGGUGCCCUGUAACCUGCAAUCCGCUAUAGCAGGAUUGAUGCUGGCGCUAGGUUAAUACCGGUUAAUUAUAAAGGUUGAUUUGAUAUUGAAGUUUAGAUCUAUUACAAUGCUAAUAAUAAGAACCCCGUCAGGCCUGGAAGGGAGCAGCGGUAAUUUUUAUGACCCAUGUGUAUAUGGUAAUCUAAGCAGAGUUAAAUCCUCAUUUUUUAAUUGAUUAUGGAUAAGCCAACCGUUAGUGCGCGG